rnacentral:rRNA from 1 species
UACGGAGGGGGCAAGCGUUGUUCGGAAUCAUUGGGCGUAAAGGGCGCGUAGGUGGUCCUGUAUGUCUAUCGUGAAAGCGUACGGCUCAACCGUAUAUGGUCGGUAGAAACUGCAGGACUUGAGGCUGGGAGGGGCUGGUGGAAUUCCCUGUGUAGCGGUGAAAUGCGUAGAGAUGGGGGAGAACACUCGUGGCGAAGGCGGCCAGCUAGACCAGUUCUGACACUGAGGCGCGACAGCGUGGGGAGCAAACAGG